rnacentral:rRNA from 1 species
UGGGGAAUAUUGCACAAUGGGCGCAAGCCUGAUGCAGCCAUGCCGCGUGUAUGAAGAAGGCCUUCGGGUUGUAAAGUACUUUCAGCGGGGAGGAAGGGAGUAAAGUUAAUACCUUUGCUCAUUGACGUUACCCGCAGAAGAAGCACCGGCUAACUCCGUGCCAGCAGCCGCGGUAAUACGGAGGGUGCAAGCGUUAAUCGGAAUUACUGGGCGUAAAGCGCACGCAGGCGGUUUGUUAAGUCAGGUGUGAAAUCCCCGGGCUCAACCUGGGAACGGCAUCUGAUACUGGCAAGCUUGAGUCUCGUAGAGGGGGGUAGAAUUCCAGGUGUAGCGGUGAAAUGCGUAGAGAUCUGGAGGAAUACCGGUGGCGAAGGCGGCCACCUGGACGAAGACUGACGCUCAGGUGCGAAGGCGUGGGGAGCAAACAGG